GUUCUCAGUUCGGAUCGGAGUCUGCAACCCGACUCCGUGAAGCUGGAUUCGCUAGUAAUCGCGCAUCAGCCAUGGCGCGGUGAAUACGUCCCCGGGCCUUGUACACACCGCCCGUCAAGCCAUGGGAGCCGGGGGUGCUUGAAGUCCGGGACCGCGAGGACCGGCCUAAGGCGAAACUGGUGACUGGGGCUAAGUCGUAACAAGGUAGC
rnacentral:rRNA from 1 species